rnacentral:rRNA from 1 species
UACGGGGGGGGGCAAGCGUUGUUCGGAAUUACUGGGCGUAAAGGGCUCGUAGGCGGCCAACUAAGUCAGACGUGAAAUCCCCAGGCUCAACCUGGGAACUGCGUCUGAUACUGGUUGGCUUGAAUCCGGGAGAGGGAUGCAGAAUUCCAGGUGUAGCGGUGAAAUGCGUAGAUAUCUGGAGGAACACCGGUGGCGAAGGCGGCAUCCUGGACCAACACUGACGCUGAGGAGCGAAAGCCAGGGGAGCAAACGGG